AUGCGUAGAUAUUCGGGGGAACACCAGUGGCGAAGGCGGUACGCUGGGCCUGGUCUGACGCUAAGACGCGAAAGCAUGGGGAGCGAACGGGAUUAGAAACCCCGGUAGUCCAGGCCGUAAACGAUGCUAACUAGGUGUUGCGGGUAAAAGACCGGCAGUGCCGGAGUUAACGCGAUAAGUUAGCCACCUGGGGACUACGGUCUCAAGGCUAAAACUCAAAGGAGUUGUCGGGGGCCCGCACAAGCAGCGGAGCGUGUGGUUUAAUUGGAGGCUACACGAAGAACCUUACCUGGGCUUGACAUGACGGUGGUAGGGAACCGAAAGGGGUCCGACCUUAAGGGAGCCGUCACAGGUGGUGCAUGGCUGUCGUCAGCUCGUGUCGUGAGAUGUUCGGUUAAGUCCGGUAACGAGCGCAACCCUCAUCGCUAGUUACAAGUGUCUAGCGAGACUGCGCGGUUCAACGGCGGGAAAACAGGCGGGGAUGAGGUCAAGUCAGCAUGGCCUUUAUGUCCAGGGCCACGCACUCGCUACAAU
rnacentral:rRNA from 1 species